AGGUCAGGGGCGAGAGUGCAUCUCGGCUGUAAAUCUGUCGGCUUAUGCCUACGCAGGUUCGAACCCUGCACCCGCCA
rnacentral:tRNA from 1 species